rfam:Schistosoma margrebowiei strain Zambia genome assembly, scaffold: SMRZ_scaffold0003824
GCACUGAUGAGGAGUCUCAUGAUAGGACGAGACGGCCGUCCAGUGC